UCCGUGGCGAUACGCUGCCAACGUUGCAGCCACAAACCCACGUAGCCAUUUGGAAAUCAUCAGGCUUCUACCUCAUGCCUCCAAAUCCCUGUCAGGCACAGGCAGGCUCUCACCUACAUUUGUUGGCUUUCUCGGCCUUAUAAAUCUCAUUUGGAGUCAAAGGAGGAGGAUCAUUUUCAAGCUGCGUGCGAGCCAUCACCACCUGGCCCCAACUUGUCCUGGUUUCUUCUGGAGUUUUUCUUCUCGUUCCCUAACCCUUCUGACGUUCUGAUGACUGCACGAUGUUUAAAAUAAUGUGCGAUUCCGUGUGCUUGAGGGGUUGUAUUUUGCUUUUUCUUGAUAAAGAUGUAUGCAUUCUUUAUCUUCAGGCUAGGGUUUACAGGUGCAGCCGUGCAGGAGGGAUGGGCGCGAUGAUCUGGAGGGUGAUGUUUUAUGAGCCAAGUCACCUAGACGGCUGGACUUGCAUUAUUCCCGACAGGUCAGAACAGAAUCCAGUGGUUCAGGUUGGAGCCAAGUCUCUCCAACAGGACUUAGCCUCGACAGUCGGCAAGCCGGCACUGCAAUAGUUCACGAAACGGCCGUUCAGUGAACACAGACGUAUCAUUCAUGGAUGGGUGCAGUGUUUUCAGGUCGACAUCUCUGAAGCAUCAGUAUUCACGUAACCAGACAGUCUUGUGCUGUUCUCAGGAUAGCGGCUGUGGUAGUGCAGCAGGUAAUACGUUUUAAAAGUUCUCGAUGGUUGUAAGUGUAGGUCUGGGUAACUGUUCUUGUCUAAACUCUAUGUUCAAACUGUAUUUGUGUUGGAAGCAAUGGAAAUGGGGAAGAUCCCUUGUAUCGAAAAAAAAAGUAAUUUGUACCUGAUUUGCAGUUGUGAAA